UUCGCAAUAUUCAUUUUUAAAUUCAUAUUUCCUUUUUCUUUGGCAUCAUCAUAUAUGUCAUCAUCAAGGAAACUGGAAUAUGAAGAGGAAGAACACCACGAAUGGCUUCGGGAGUGGCAAAUAAAGAAGCGGUCAAGAGAGGAGAAUACGAUACGUCUAUGGAAUUAGGU
rnacentral:ribozyme from 1 species